rnacentral:rRNA from 1 species
UGGGGAAUAUUGCACAAUGGGCGCAAGCCUGAUGCAGCCAUGCCGCGUGUAUGAAGAAGGCCUUCGGGUUGUAAAGUACUUUCAGCGGGGAGGAAGGCGAUAAGGUUAAUAACCUUGUCGAUUGACGUUACCCGCAGAAGAAGCACCGGCUAACUACGUGCCAGCAGCCGCGGUAAUACGGAGGGUGCAAGCGUUAAUCGGAAUUACUGGGCGUAAAGCGCACGCAGGCGGUCUGUCAAGUCGGAUGUGAAAUCCCCGGGCUCAACCUGGGAACUGCAUUCGAAACUGGCAGGCUAGAGUCUUGUAGAGGGGGGUAGAAUUCCAGGUGUAGCGGUGAAAUGCGUAGAGAUCUGGAGGAAUACCGGUGGCGAAGGCGACCCCCUGGACAAAGACUGACGCUCAGGUGCGAAAGCGUGGGGAGCAAACA